rnacentral:tRNA from 1 species
CCUCUGAUGGCGGAACAGGUAGACGCGCACGACUCAAACUCGUGUGGGGCGACCCAUGUCGGUUCAAGUCCGACUCGGAGGACCA